rnacentral:rRNA from 1 species
AUUGAACGCUGGCGGCACGCCUAACACAUGCAAGUCGAGCGGUAGCAUGAAGUGUAGCAAUACACUUUGAUGACGAGCGGCGGACGGGUGAGGAACACGUAGGAACCUGCCCUUUAGCGGGGGACAACCAAGGGAAACUUUGGCUAAUCCCGCGUAAUCUCGAGAGAGGAAAGCUGCCCGCAAGGGUGGCGCUAAAGGAGGGGCCUGCGUCCGAUUAGCUAGUUGGUGAGGUAACGGCUCACCAAGGCAAUGAUCGGUAACUGGUCUGAGAGGACGACCAGUGACACUGGGACUGAGACACGGCCCAGACUCCUACGGGAGGCAGCAGUGGGGAAUAUUGGACAAUGGGGGCAACCCUGAUCCAGCGAUGCCGCGUGGGUGAAGAAGGCCUUCGGGUUGUAAAGCCCUUUAGGUUGGGACGAAGGGUAUAGAGUUAAUACCUCUGUACUUUGACGGUACCGACAGAAUAAGCACCGGCAAACUCUGUGCCAGCCGCCGCCGUAAUAC